GCCGCGGUAUUUUGACCGUGCAAAGGUAGCGUAAUCAUUUGUCUUUUAAAUGAAGACCUGUAUGAAUGGCUAGACGAGGGCUUAACUGUCUCCUUUUUCAAGUCAAUGAAAUUGAUCUCCCCGUGCAAAAGCGGGGAUAUGCCCAUAAGACGAGAAGACCCUAUGGAGCUUUAGAUGCCACAGCAAGCAUAACUGCUACAUCCAAAUAAAGGAUGUAUCCACUAGCUUCUGCCUCAACAUCUUCGGUUGGGGUGACCAUGGGGAACGAAAAACCCCCACGUCUCUGUACUGGAGUCUCUAUUAAACCUAACAAACUCUUUCAAACAAGAGCCGCCGCUCUACUUAACAGAAUUUCUGACCAUUGAUCCGGCAAUGCCGAUUAACGAACCCAGUUACCCUAGGGAUAACAGCGCAAUCCCCUUCUAGAGUCCAUAUCGAUAAGGGGGCUUACGACCUCGAUGUUGG
rnacentral:rRNA from 1 species